UGGGGAAUAUUGGACAAUGGGCGAAAGCCUGAUCCAGCAAUGCCGCGUGAGUGAUGAAGGCCUUAGGGUUGUAAAGCUCUUUUACCCGGGAUGAUAAUGACAGUACCGGGAGAAUAAGCCCCGGCUAACUCUGUGCCAGCAGCCGCGGUAAGACAGAGGGUGCAAACGUUGCUCGGAAUCACUGGGCGUAAAGGGCGUGUAGGCGGACAUGUAAGUCGGGCGUGAAAUCCCCAGGCUCAACCUGGGAACUGCACUCGAAACUGCGUGUCUCGAGUAUCGGAGAGGAAAGCGGAAUACCUGGUGUAGAGGUGAAAUUCGUAGAUAUCAGGUGGAACACCAGUGGCGAAGGCGGCUUUCUGGACGAUUACUGACGCUGAGACGCGAAAGCGUGGGGAGCAAAC
rnacentral:rRNA from 1 species